rnacentral:rRNA from 1 species
UACGGGGGGAGCAAGCGUUGUUCGGAUUUACUGGGCGUAAAGGGCGCGUAGGCGGCCACCGCAAGUCGACUGUGAAAUCUCCGGGCUUAACCCGGAAAGGUCAGCCGAUACUGCGGGGCUAGAGUGCAGAAGGGGCAACUGGAAUUCUCGGUGUAGCGGUGAAAUGCGUAGAUAUCGAGAGGAACACCUGCGGCGAAGGCGGCCUGCUGGGCAGUAGCUGACGCUGAGGCGCGACAGCGUGGGGAGCAAACAGG